ACCUUCUUCAUAACCCCACUCCUGAUUCUCUUUGUCAGCAAGUUCAGCAGAGGGGUCAGUGUAAUGUUUGUCAGCCAUCUCAGAAUCCAGUCUGUGUUGUCCUGCUCCUGUUGCUGGUGGGGAUUGUGAAGCUGACUGAGCACAGAGUUUAGUAGUGACUGUGACUCAAGUCAGACAUAGUAUCAAACACACGUCCUCUUCCCAG